rnacentral:rRNA from 1 species
AGCCUGAUGCAGCGACGACCGCGUGAGGGAUGGAGGCCUUCGGGUGUGUAAACCUCUUUCGCCAGUGAAGCAGGCCUGUCCCUUGUGGGUGGGUUGACGGUAGCUGGAUAAGAAGCGCCGGCUAACUACGUGCCAGCAGCCGCGGUAAUACGUAGGGCGCGAGCGUUGUCCGGAAUUAUUGGGCGUAAAGAGCUCGUAGGCGGCUGGUCGCGUCUGUCGUGAAAUCCUCUGGCUUAACUGGGGGCUUGCGGUGGGUACGGGCCGGCUUGAGUGCGGUAGGGGAGACUGGAACUCCUGGUGUAGCGGUGGAAUGCGCAGAUAUCAGGAAGAACACCGGUGGCGAAGGCGGGUCUCUGGGCCGUUGCUGACGCUGAGGAGCGAAAGCGUGGGGAGCGAACAGGAUUAGAUACCCUGGUAGUCCACGCCGUAAACGUUGGGCACUAGGUGUGGGGGGCCUUUUCCGGGUCUUCCGCGCCGUAGCUAACGCAUUAAGUGCCCCGCCUGGGGAGUACGGCCGCAAGGCUAAAACUCAAAGGAAUUGACGGGGGCCCGCACAAGCGGCGGAGCAUGCGGAUUAAUUCGAUGCAACGCGAAGAACCUUACCAAGGCUUGACAUGUGCCGGUCGGCUCCGGAGACGG